UCCGCAGCGCGUGUUUCAGAACGAUGGCACGGAAGCUCGCGCCCUUGAGCCGGGCGGUGCGGAUGUACUGCGCCGUCAUCACCUCGGUCAUCGAGGCGCGGGUCAUCCGGGCGAUGUAACCCAUGCCGUAGAACGUCAGCGCCAGAACAGGCAGGGUGAAGUUGGCAAAGGUAAUCCCCUUC
rnacentral:ncRNA from 1 species